rnacentral:rRNA from 1 species
AACGCUGGCGGCGCGCUUAACACAUGCAAGUCGAGCGAGAAAGGGAGCAAUCCUGAGUAAAGUGGCGUACGGGUGAGUAACACGUGGGUCAUGUACCCUUUGGUGGGGAAUAACGUUGGGAAACCGACGCUAAUACCGCAUAAUCCCGAGAGGGGAAAGCCGCAAGGCGCCGAAGGAACAGCCCGCGGCCGAUUAGCUAGUUGGUGAGGUAAUGGCUCACCAAGGCUUGGAUCGGUAGCCGGCCUUAGAGGGCACACGGCCACACUGGCAGUGAAACCCGGGCCAGACUCCUACGGGAGGCAGCAGUGGGGAAUCUUGCACAAUGGACGAAAGUCUGAUGCAGCGACGCCUCGUGAGCUGAUGAAGGUCUUCGGAUCGUAAAGCUCUUUCGACUGGAAGAUAAUGACGGUACCAGGAGAAGAAGC